AACGAACGCUGGCGGCAUGCCUAACACAUGCAAGUCGAACGAGACCUUCGGGUCUAGUGGCGCACGGGUGCGUAAUGCGUGGGAACCUGCCCUUAGGUUCGGAAUAACUCCCCGAAAGGGGUGCUAAUACCGGAUAAUGUCUUCGGACCAAAGAUUUAUCGCCUUUGGAUGGGCCCGCGUUGGAUUAGCUAGUUGGUAGGGUAAAAGCCUACCAAGGCGACGAUCCAUAGCUGGUCGGGGAGGAUGCUCAGCCACACUGGGACUGAGACACGGCCCAGACUCCUACGGGACGCAGCAGUGGGGAAUAUUAGACAAUGGGCGCAAGCCUGAUCCAGCAAUGCCGCGUGAGUGAUGAAUGCCUUAGGGUUGUAAAGCUCUUUUACCCGGGAUGAUAAUGACAGUACCGGGAGAAUAAGCUCCGGCUAACUCCGUG
rnacentral:rRNA from 1 species